GCAGAUAUUUCAAGGGCUGAUGACCUGCUGAUGAUAAGCUGAUUUCCUUACACUACGUAGUUUCCAGCAUAGAAAACAGCAAUGAAAACUGAUCUUUUAGAGGAGAAAGUUAAGACUAGGCCCUGAAUGAUACAGUAUUCUGAACUCAUGGGUUUUAGAACAGUCAUUAAUGCAGUUAUUAGACCCUGACUUAUUUAGCAGUUUUUUUUUUUUCUUCGCCAAACAUAUUACUAGAAAAAAUUUCAAAUUACAGAAGAAAAGGACAAGGGUUCCUAAUUUAAUAAGCUUAGGAAAGUUUGAUAGUCGUAAACAGACACAACCCCUCUCCUUUUCUCAAAGAAUUCGUGGCCUUUGAAAUACUGACUGUGUCUACAUGAAACCAAAGAAAGUCUCCUGGAGGAAUCCAUUUUAGUCGCAUACACAAACAGUUAAAUACAUCCAUGGCAGAGAAUGGUUUAUUAGUCCUUUUCAGUGUACAUCUGUAUGAAUAAGACAUCGAAUAUAAGGAACAUAGAAAGCAGGAGAACAAAGGGUUAAUUUAUUUACUAUGCAUGAGAGUUUCUAGACCUUUGCUUCCUCAGCUUUUAGUUCAAAAUUCCAUGCAUACUCUGCACAUAAUAAUAAAUGCCAUAAUUCAAUGUAUGCCAUAAUUUGAUUUACUUUCAAGCACCUUUUCUGGUUCAGCUCUCAAAGCUUUCCUUCCUAUAAACUUCCUCCAAAUUAUUCUUCGUGGCCCUCUGUAAAUCAUCAUUUGAAACUGGUAUUUGUGGGAUGACUCGAACACCAUCAGCAGAUUUCUAUCAAAUGAGCCAUCUUUCCUUUGGAGAAUCAGUGGUCAACGUCCACACCCUUAUUGGAGAAGGGGCCAAAUCACACUAAAAAAAAGAAGACUAAAACCUGAGCCCUUUCCCACCUCUUUGACGCUUGUAAUAAUGACAGCAGUCACUGAGUGACUGUCCUCUAGUUUGUCAGUCCUGCCUAGAGACCAAGAUCUUCAGGACAAGGCCUUUACACUCUGUUCCGUAUACUGCAUGUAUUGUCUGUUAUUACACCUGCCCAUGGCGGAAGAUGCUAUCUCAGAAAAGCUGGAGGCAACAGCUCUUAACUCUUAGUUCUUCAUAUGCAACUGCAAUUUAUUUUUUCUGUGCCUCAAGUUUCCGAUAUGUAAAAGGGGUGUAUUUAUUGCCCCAAGACUACCGAUUGGAUGCUUAGACUAAAGGAGUAUUGUUGGGGAGGAUUUUAAGAAUUAGUGAGGGAAAAGCACUUGUGCUAGAGAUUUUUAUAGCCUGCCACUAUUUUUGUAGCAAGAAGGUCUUGGAUAAUACAUUCUAAAUUCAAAAUUUAAGUGAAUUUUUAAUUCAAAAGAAAAGUGGACAAGAUUUAUACUGAAUAUUAGAGAUAGGUAAACAAGCUCUUGGUUUUGCAUUUAUUUUAUUUUAUUUUAUUUUAUUUUUUUGUCUUUUUGUGAUUUCUUGGGCCGCUCCCACGGCAUAUGGAGGUUCUCAGGCUAGGGGUCUAAUUGGAGCUGUAGCUGCCAGCCUACGCCAGAGCCACAGCAACACUUCAAGAACGCAGUGAGGGAGGAAAGAAAGGCAAACUUACAUUUUGUGGGCAGAUGAAGGAAGAAUGGAUGAAGGGGCAAGGAGGAGGAUUCAGAUGAACAGGGAAAUCAUGAAACAUGUUAUAGAGCCAAAAGGUGAAGAAUGCUCUUGAGAAGUGGAGAUAGGUGGUCAAAACAGUUACAUCAGUAAGAGUGAUGGUAGCACUGCCUGCAGGAAGAGGCAUAUUUAAGAGUAGGAGGAGUUUUUUUUUUUUUUUUUUUUUUUUUUAAUCAUUGAAUUCAUCUUUAAGAGGACCACUUCUUAUCCCUUUCUACUCUUACUCUAAACGCAUACAUGCACUCAAGCAUACACAUAACUAUUUCUGUUCUAGGUAAAGUUUAUGGCAUUGCUAACUCCGAAGCACCCAAGCUAUGUCUGGAAAUUUUACCAGUAAAGUUCUAAUUUUAUUGCUUGCUCUUUAUUUAAAAGAUGACCGACUUUUAGAUGUGCAAGUCAACUGUUUUUGGUGGGAGUGCAAAUUUAUUCACAUUUUAUUUAACAAAUACUUUUGGAGCCUUUUCUAUCUUCCAGGCAUUGUGCUAAGUGCUAGGAUCAGAAUUAUUCCCAUAAAUACUUAGAUGGCUUUACCUGUGAGCUUUGCUCUUUAUGGUUGGCACAAAGUCAAUGCCUUUGUGAUGAUGAGUUUCAGUUCCAGUCCCUGAGAGUUUUUGUGUUCAUAUUUUAAGGCAUAUUUCUGUAUAACUUUUCUGUGCCAAGAUGCUUUUAAAAUGUUUUGAAUAAUUUUCAGUA
rnacentral:lncRNA from 1 species